rnacentral:rRNA from 1 species
AUUGAACGCUGGCGGCAUGCCUUACACAUGCAAGUCGAACGGUAACGGGCCUUCGGGUGCCGACGAGUGGCGAACGGGUGAGUAAUACAUCGGAACGUGCCCGAUCGUGGGGGAUAACGAGGCGAAAGCUUUGCUAAUACCGCAUACGAUCUACGGAUGAAAGCAGGGGACCGCAAGGCCCUGCGCGGACGGAGCGGCCGAUGGCAGAUUAGGUAGUUGGUGGGAUAAAAGCUUACCAAGCCGACGAUCUGUAGCUGGUCUGAGAGGAUGAUCAGCCACACUGGGACUGAGACACGGCCCAGACUCCUACGGGAGGCAGCAGUGGGGAAUUUUGGACAAAGGGCGCAAGCCUGAUCCAGCCAUGCCGCGUGCAGGAUGAAGGCCUUCGGGUUGUAAACUGCUUUUGUACGGAACGAAAAGCCUUCUUUUAAUACAGGAGGGUCAUGACGGUACCGUAAGAAUAAGCACCGGCUAACUACGUG